UACGUAGGGACCAAGCGUUUGUUCGGAUACUGGCGUAAGGGGCCAAGGUAGGCGGCCCAAACUAAGUCCGACGUGAAAUCCCAAGGCUUAACCUUGGAACUGCGUCGGAUACUGGAUGGCUUGAAUUCGGGAGAGGGAUGCAGAAUUCCAGGUGUAGCGGUGAAAUGCGUAGAUAUCUGCAGGAACACCCGUGGCGAAAGCGGCGCGCUGGACCACUACUGACGCUGAGGAACGAAAGCUAGGGGAGCAAACAGG
rnacentral:rRNA from 1 species